rnacentral:rRNA from 1 species
GAUGAACGCUGGCGGCGUGCCUAAUACAUGCAAGUCGAGCGAACGGACGAGAAGCUUGCUUUUCUGAUGUUAGCGGCGGACGGGUGAGUAACACGUGGAUAACCUACCUAUAAGACUGGGAUAACUUCGGGAAACCGGAGCUAAUACCGGAUAAUAUUUUGAACCGCAUGGUUCAAAAGUGAAAGACGGUCUUGCUGUCACUUAUAGAUGGAUCCGCGCUGCAUUAGCUAGUUGGUAAGUUAACGGCUUACCAAGGCAACGAUGCAUAGCCGACCUGAGAGGGUGAUAGGCCACACUGGAACUGAGCCACGGUCCAGACUCCUACGGGAGGCAGCAGUAGGGAAUCUUCCGCAAUGGGCGAAAGCCUGACGGAGCAACGCCGCGUGAGUGAUGAAGGUCUUCGGAUCGUAAAACUCUGUUAUUAGGGAAGAACAUAUGUGUAAGUAACUGUGCACAUCUUGACGGUACCUAAUCAGAAAGCCACGGCUAACUACGUG